rnacentral:rRNA from 1 species
UACAGAGGUCUCAAGCGUUGUUCGGAUUCAUUGGGCGUAAAGGGUGCGUAGGCGGCGAGGUUAGUCGGAUGUGAAAUCCCAGGGCUCAACCCUGGAACUGCAUUCGAUACUGCCUUGCUAGAGUACUGGAGAGGAGACUGGAAUUUACGGUGUAGCGGUGAAAUGCGUAGAUAUCGAGAGGAACACCUGCGGCGAAGGCGGGUUGCUGGGCUGACACUGACGCUGAUGCGCGAAAGCCAGGGGAGCGAACGGGG